rnacentral:rRNA from 1 species
GACGAACGCUGGCGGCGUGCUUAACACAUGCAAGUCGAGCGGUAAGGCCCUUUCGGGGGUACACGAGCGGCGAACGGGUGAGUAACACGUGGGUGACCUGCCCUCAGCUCUGGGAUAAGCCUGGGAAACCGGGUCUAAUACCGGAUAUGACUCCAUGACGCAUGUUGUGGGGUGGAAAGCCUUGUGCGGCUGAGGAUGGGCCCGCGGCCUAUCAGCUUGUUGGUGGGGUGAUGGCCUACCAAGGCGACGACGGGUAGCCGGCCUGAGAGGGCGACCGGCCACACUGGGACUGAGACACGGCCCAGACUCCUACGGGAGGCAGCA